AGAAUCAACGCUGGCGGCGUGCCUAACACAUGCAAGUCGCACGAGAAAGGGACUUCGGUCCUGAGUACAGUGGCGCACGGGUGAGUAACACGUGAAUCAUCUACCUCCGAGUGGGGAAUAACUGAGAGAAAUCUUAGCUAAUACCGCAUAACACUUACGAGUCAAAGCAGCAAUGCGCUUGGAGAGGAGUUCGCGGCCGAUUAGUUAGUUGGCGGGGUAAUGGCCCACCAAGACGAUGAUCGGUA
rnacentral:rRNA from 1 species